AAGACAAAAUUUAUGUAGUUCAUCAUGUGCCUGCAUCCACAGGGAGGCAGGAAGAACAAUCCAUUGUUGCGCAUGAGAAUUACAACGCUCCACUCUCGCCCCUUCAUUGACUCAGAGCCCUUUGUCUCCAUAAGAAGCCCUCUUCAGUAAUUUGAGAUUUCCAGUAAAUAUAACACACAUUACAACAUCAACUGAAUUAACAUUGAUAACAGAACAUGGAGACAAGAUGCAGUAUGGGAAAAAAGAACAAAAGCAGGCAACUUUAAGCGUCACUGACUUCCAGAAGAACAAUUUUUCAACCUAAAAUUUAGCUCAAAUACAUACUUCUUCGAAAGUAGGAUGCCAAUUCUCUCUCUCCAUUGUUUUGUUGCUUUUAUCACUUUUUUCCAGUAAACCAAAAUGUUGUAACUCAAGAAUGAAAAUGUAAGAUAGUUACAAUGUUAUCUAAUGAUCAAGAACAAUAG